GGGCCCCUGGUACCUGCAGAGAUGUGGGGGUGCUCGAAAGAGAGCCAGGACACAGGUGCUGCAUGGCCGUCGUCAGCUCGUGUCGUGAGAUGUUGGGUUAAGUCCCGCAACGAGCGCAACCCUUGCCAUUAGUUGCUACGAAAGGGCACUCUAAUGGGACUGCCGGUGACAAACCGGAGGAAGGUGGGGAUGACGUCAGGUCCUCAUGGCCCUUAUGGGUAGGGCUACACACGUCAUACAAUGGCCGGUACAGAGGGCUGCCAACCCGCGAGGGGGAGCCAAUCCCAGAAAACCGGUCGUAGUCCGGAUUGCAGUCUGCAACUCGACUGCAUGAAGUCGGAAUCGCUAGUAAUCGCGGAUCAGAAUGUCGCGGUGAAUACGUUCCCGGGUCUUGUACACACCGA
rnacentral:rRNA from 1 species